GACGAACCGUGCAAACGUUGUUCGGAAUCACUGGGCUUAAAGGGCGCGUAGGCGGGCCGGACAGUCUGUGGUGAAAGCCUCCAGCUUAACUGGAGAAGUGCCGUGGAUACUGCCGGCCUCGAGGAGGGUAGGGGCAUCUGGAACGGUCGGUGGAGCGGUGAAAUGCGUUGAUAUCGACCGGAACUCCGGUGGCGAAGGCGAGGUGCUGGACCCUUUCUGACGCUGAGGCGCGAAAGCCAGGGGAGCAAACGGG
rnacentral:rRNA from 1 species